rnacentral:rRNA from 1 species
GUGGGGAAUAUUGGACAAUGGGGGGAACCCUGAUCCAGCCAUGCCGCGUGUGUGAAGAAGGCCUUUUGGUUGUAAAGCACUUUAAGCGAGGAGGAGGCUACCGAGAUUAAUACUCUUGGAUAGUGGACGUUACUCGCAGAAUAAGCACCGGCUAACUCUGUGCCAGCAGCCGCGGUAAUACAGAGGGUGCAAGCGUUAAUCGGAUUUACUGGGCGUAAAGCGCGCGUAGGUGGCCAAUUAAGUCAAAUGUGAAAUCCCCGAGCUUAACUUGGGAAUUGCAUUCGAUACUGGUUGGCUAGAGUAUGGGAGAGGAUGGUAGAAUUCCAGGUGGAGCGGUGAAAUGCGUAGAGAUCUGGAGGAAUACCGAUGGCGAAGGCAGCCAUCUGGCCUAAUACUGACACUGAGGUGCGAAAGCAUGGGGAGCAAACAGGAUUAGAUACCCCAGUAGUCC